CAAAGGAUAGUUUAUAUGUAAAAUAACAGUUUUGGGUAUUGUUGAUAAUUAAUUUAAUUUCCUUUGA
rnacentral:tRNA from 1 species